UAAAGUAUCCAAAUUCUCAAUUACUCUUAUUUUGUUCCCCCCCAAUUCAAGGUUCGUUAACCUGUCUAAACCUUCUAAAUUUUCAAUUCUCCUAAUUCUGUUUUGGACAAAGAAGAGGUUUUCUAAGCCCUUUAAAUGGUUAAUGUUUCGAAUCGUUUUAAUAUUGUUGAAAGACAGAUCCAAGUAAGUGAGAUUUUUGACAUUAUCCAAGUUUUCAAUUCUGACAAUUAAGUUGUCAUACAAAUCCAAUUCAGUCAAUGUUUCUGGAACUGAUUCAAUUUUCUUGAUUUGAUUUUGGCGAAGACAUAAACUCUGUAAAUUUUUAAAUCUUUCAAGUCCAAGAGAUGCCAUGCUUUGUAUACGAGACUGAAUAAGCUCUACGCACUAUAUUAAGUUGGUUAGCUAUAUUUCAAUUUAAUGAUUUAAAGAUAUCAUUUACAUCGACGUCGUCCGGCACAUCAUCAAGCAGAUCUUCAUCUGCAUCGAUUUGCUGGACAUCAGGGUCAUCAAUGAUAAGCUGUGUCUCAGGAGCAAUUCCAUCUUCACUGGAAACGUUACUCAUUGUAAAAAAAGGCGAUAUAAUAAAAAGGGCAAACGUGUUACAAACGAAAGUACUAUAUGCUUUCAAGUAGAGUACCGUGACAACAUAACGACGCUUUAGGAAGCAACGAUACUCUUGCUAUAGCUUUUUACAAAUCUGUAUAGUUUUUAUCGAAUCGUUAAAAAACUCACUAUAGUGAAACUCAUAGCAUACCGCAACAUAAAAUAAUCUUAUUCAGCGAAAAUCAUUAAGUUGACUAAAUGCUAAACAAUCCCAAUUGCAGCUUAAUUGUUUAACAAUCGUUAGUACUCAUCACAUUAAUGGAACAAUUAUCAUAUGGUGUGUAUAGAUUUAUUAAUGAACGAUAACUUACACGGUAAUAUAACCCCCUCCUCGAAUACUGAUAAAAACAGAUUUGAAAACAAGGUUCAUUUCAAGUCAUGUUAAGCUAGUCAAUCAAAUAUAUGGCAAUGUGAAAUUGUACAUUCUCUGAAAGAAGUUACAAACGAUGUAUAGUUUACGGAAUUGACUUCGACAUUCAAAUAUAAGGGUAUAAAAUAAAUGAAUAAAUGACAGUUGACCUAGAAGGGAAUAGCAAAUAACAACGUCUCAUUUAAUACACCGAUGACACAUGACUACUAGCAAGCAUGAGUUUAGCGAGGGAUAUGAGCAAAGGAGUUUUCGUUAUCUUUUGCUUCCCAUAUAAGACUAUCAACAUCAAAGUUUCCAUGGAAGACCCAACCAUUUUCAUCAAUGUGAUAAAGAUUUACUGAGCCACCAGAGUAUGCAUCUCUGUGAGUGGCAGCAACAAUAGAGCGCUGAGCUAAAUAAAGAGCUUCUUGUUUAGAUAAGUCCCAGCGAUAUCCAGAGUCCAAAACACCGUACGCAAAUGUAGAACCUGAACCAACGGAAAACAAAUCACCUUUCAAUCGGGUGCCAUCACUGUCGAUGUAGUAAAGUGCAGUACCACCUUUUCCUGUUCCAGCAAGCAUAGUACCCAUGCUAAGUCCAUAACCCUUGUAUGAAUAAGUAAUGUUUGAAAGAAUUUUGCUAGCAGCAGAAACAGAGAUUAACUCCUUAUUUCUAAGUUGAUGUAAACGACAUUCCAUUCCUAGAACUGUCUCCCAAAACUGACAGUCAGCUGCACCACCAGCAAGAGUACCUAAAAGAUAUGGGUUUAUCUCUAUAACUUUUUUAACGGUUUGUGAAGCAAUAAGAGGACCGGCAGAUGCUCUCGAAUCUACACAAACAACGAUACCAUGUUGGUAACGAA